GCACUCCUACGGGGCGCAGCAGUGAUUCCUAUUGUUCACUUUUCGCAGGCCUGAACCAGCCAAGUCGCGUGAGGGAAGACUGCCCUAUGGGUUGUAAACCUCUUUUAUAAGGGAAGAAUAAUGACUACGUGUAGUCAGAUGCCCGUACCUUAUGAAUAAGCAUCGGCUAACUCCGUGCCAGCAGCCGCGGUAAUACGGAGGAUGCGAGCGUUAUCCGGAUUUAUUGGGUUUAAAGGGUGCGUAGGCGGUAUUUUAAGUUAGUGGUAAAACGUCGGGGCUUCACCUUGAUUGGCCAUUAAAACUGG
rnacentral:rRNA from 1 species